UUGACAGUAUGGUGUACAUACCAGAUGUUCCAAAAAUAACUACAGACAACAAUAAUGAAUUUCACCGGAGAAUAGCAGUGAUGACUAGAGAACAUCUUGAACGUGAGUACCAGAAAGCACGUGCUGCAAUGAUACAAAGAAAUGAGUACUUGAAGAGACUCUUAAACGUGGAGGAACCAAACUCAAUAAAGGUGACAAACAAGAAAC
rnacentral:lncRNA from 1 species